rnacentral:rRNA from 1 species
CAGUCGCCGCGGGAAUACGGAGGGUGCAAGCGUUAAUCGGAAUUACUGGGCGUAAAGCGUGCGUAGGCGGUUCGUUAAGUCUGUUGUGAAAGCCCCGGGCUCAACCUGGGAAUGGCAAUGGAUACUGGCGAGCUAGAGUGUGUCAGAGGAUGGUGGAAUUCCCGGUGUAGCGGUGAAAUGCGUAGAGAUCGGGAGGAACAUCAGUGGCGAAGGCGGCCAUCUGGGACAACACUGACGCUGAGGCACGAAAGCGUGGGGAGCAAACAGGAUUAGAUACCCCCGUAGUCCCUGUCUCUUAUAA